rnacentral:miRNA from 12 species
CACAUAUGUAAAUAUAUAUGUACUUAUGUGUGGCUGUGUGUGUGUGUGUAUAAACACACACAUAUCUACAGAUACAUCAUUUAUGUACAUGU